UACAGAGGGGGCAAGCGUUGUUCGGAAUUACUGGGCGUAAAGGGCGCGUAGGCGGCCUUCUAAGUCGAACGUGAAAUCCCCGGGCUCAACCCGGGAACUGCGUCCGAUACUGGAAGGCUUGAAUCCGGGAGAGGGAUGCGGAAUUCCAGGUGUAGCGGUGAAAUGCGUAGAUAUCUGGAGGAACACCGGUGGCGAAGGCGGCGAUCCUGGACCGG
rnacentral:rRNA from 1 species